rnacentral:piRNA from 1 species
AGCUAUGGAGUGUAGAGGUGAGAA